rnacentral:lncRNA from 1 species
UUAUAAGGAUACUUAUGUUUAUAUUUCCAAUGUCAGGGGCCAGAUGUGACAUCACAAUGACCCAGUCUCCAUCCUCCCUGUCUGGAUCUCCAGGAGACAGAGUCACCAUCACCUGCAGGGCCAGUCAGAGUAUUAACAGUUGGUUAGCUUGGUAUCAACAGAAGCCAGGGCAAGCUCCUAACCACCUGAUAUAUAAGGCGUCUAGUUUGGAAUCUGGGGUCCCCUCCAGGUUCAGUGGCAGUGGAUCUGGGACAGAUUACACUCUCACCAUCAGCAGCAUGGAGCCUGAAGAUGCUGCCACUUAUUAUUGUCAAAAAGGUAGUAAUCUACCUCCCACAGUGAUACAGGACAUG